AGGACGUGAUAAGGGCAUUUACUAAGAAGUUCUUUAAAUCUCUCUCAUUAUUCUAAAAUAAACUUAUUAUCUAACUAGGUAAAAGAUGUGAUGUCAUUUCUAAGCAU